CAGUAGCCGCGGUAAUACGUAGGGUGCGAGCGUUAAUCGGAAUUACUGGGCGUAAAGCGUGCGCAGGCGGUUCGUUAAGACAGAUGUGAAAUCCCCGGGCUUAACCUGGGAACUGCAUUUGUGACUGGCGAGCUAGAGUAUGGCAGAGGGGGGUAGAAUUCCACGUGUAGCAGUGAAAUGCGUAGAGAUGUGGAGGAAUACCGAUGGCGAAGGCAGCCCCCUGGGCCAAUACUGACGCUCAUGCACGAAAGCUAGGGGAGCAAACAGGAUUAGAUACCCGUGUAGUCCCUGUCUCUUAUAC
rnacentral:rRNA from 1 species